rnacentral:rRNA from 1 species
UACGUAGGGGGCGAGCGUUAUUCGGAAUUAUUGGGCGUAAAGGGCGCGUAGGCGGCUGGACAAGUCAGAGGUGAAAUCCCUCGGCUCAACUGAGGAACUGCCUUUGAAACUGUACGGCUUGAGGCCGGGAGGGGGUAGCGGAAUUCCCAGUGUAGCGGUGAAAUGCGUAGAUACUGGGAGGAACACCAGUGGCGAAGGCGGCUACCUGGACCGGUUCUGACGCUGAGGCGCGAAAGCGUGGGUAGCAAACAGG